CUGUGUGGGCUGCACACCAGUCGGUGCUGCCUGGUGCUGGCUGAGUGAGCCCUCCUCAUGGGCUAUUUCCCAUUAUCCCACCAGCACACUGUGGGAUGGGAAUGGCAUUCCCAGGGCUUUGACAGUGGCCACAAUCAUUGUUCAUGUCUCUGCCUACUCUCAAACCGAGCCUUGCUUUGUCUUUGCCUCUGCGGGGCCCUGACAUGCUAAAAUUUUCACUGAGUUUCUCUUACUCAGGUAGGAAUGGGAAAAGCAGCAAAACCCAUGCAGAAGCCAGAGUUCAUUAGCACCACUGCCCUGCAGCUCAGCCUCUCCUCCUCCUCUUCUCCUGGGCACCUGUAAUUCCACCCUGGAAUCUGCUGCAUCCCGACAUCCUCGACGCUUCGGUGCUGCCGGGCAUUUCCAGCAACAAGGCUUUGGGUGAGUGGCUCCAUCAGAGUUUUAUUCUGCCACAGGCUUCAAUUUUUGUGAGCUGCUUUAUCCUCACAAGGAUAAAACUCGACUCUGACCUCUAAUGAUCCUCCUAAUGAUAUGAGGGAAAAGGAACGACGACGAGCUGCCGAGGCUUAGCCCAUCUUCUGGAUUUUUUGGAGAUCCCUGAGGAGCAGGAGGCUGAGCGAGGAGGAAUGUGGACUCCUUUUGUUUUCUACUUUGCCUGUUUAUUAAGCCUUUUUUUCCUUAAAAGCAAAGAAGAAAAAGAGAAGCACCAACGUGCAUCUCAAGCACUGAAGUGCUGUGCACCAGGAAAUGACAAAAAUGUAUUUAUUACAUUUAUUACUUGCCCGGGUACCCAAGUUUUUUAAGCACACGGAGAGUUCCUGGGCACAUAUCAAAGCAAAAUGAUCACAGUGGAGCAGGAAGGGCAAAGAUGAAGAGGGGAGGCAGGGAGGAGGAUAUGGUUUGCUUUCACCCCUUUCAUCCGGGUCUCGUGAAGGUCCUUUGGUCACCCAGAAAUCGCCCUGUGUGGCUUGAAUGGGCACCAUCCUUUAAAAACCACGUUCCCUGGUCAAGGUGAUGUGCCUUUUGGGAGGGUUUUGUGACACAGCAGACCCCUCUUGCAGCCCACAGUGCUCCAGUUGGCCUCCUAUUUAAUGUGGCUCUCACUGCUGAUCGAUGGAUUCAGCAACAUCCACCCUCAUGCAGAACUCGUGGGAUCGUGCUCUGAUUCCAGAGCAGGAGCUUGGAAUGAAAGGGCAUGUGCCAAAACAUAUGUACAAACACACCUCUGCAGAGGCUGCUUUUGUAGUCACCACUUGGGGUGGAACUUUAAUUUCAGGUUAGGGGUAGGAAUGUUGUUCUUUCUGUAAGACACAGCCCAAGGUCCAAGAACAUUUCUUUAAUCACUUUUUUCCACCAUGAGUGAGGUAUUUGCUGUUAAUUCUUUAUCCCAUUUGUGCCUCCCUGCACUCAUUAACUCUUUGGUGGGACAUUAGGGAAUCACACAGUAAAACAGGCAUUCUGGAAGGGAUGGGAUUCUGACUGGGAGCAGUUCCUGGCUGAACCUUGAAGUCAGGAGGGGAAGAUUUUGAUUGUAUUGGCAGCACUAAUGUGCACUGCAAUUUGGGAGGUGUAAACCCUAGGGUUUGUAAUCACUGGGUGCAUAAAAACUGCAUUUCAUAUAUUAUUCUCAUAUUUAACCUUUUUUUUUUAUUCCUUGUUUCUUUACGUGCCAAUUUUUUACAAGCCUGAGAUUCCCAUGAAUAGAGAAUAAAGUUGGAAUCUGCGCUGGCAAAAUAAACAGGUCAGGAUGAGACAGCUUAGGUGGUUAGUGGAGAUUAGGUUUUCUGGGAUCCACCUGUAGCUUGCACCUAAAAAUGAGUGUGGAUGAAAAAAUAAACCUAUUAGAGGUGUUUCCUGUGUUGUUCUGUGAUGUCUUUUAUCUGUCGUGUGGCUUCAGUCACCAAAAUGCUUCUGUGGUCUUCCCUCAGAUUUGUAAAUCUGAAUUUGAGUGGUUUGAAUGACAACUGAAAUUACUCAAGGAAGAUACCUGGUUUUCUCUGUCCACCACCCCUUUUCAUUUAAUUAAUUAAUUUUAAAAACUCUGAUUGUCUCAGGGCAUGUCCCAAAGUUCUUUCUUGUUAGACCAAACCCAAAGUCAUUAAUUUUUUUUUUCUUUUUUUUUAAUAAAUGGAGUAUCAGACUGUGACCACGAGCCAGAUGAAAAGCAGAAUGUGGGAAGACAGGGCCGGAAAUUACUAAUUGCCCUCCAGUUAAAGGACUCAGCAGGAAUGGGCCCAGCGAUGGAUAAAUGGCUAUUCUUGAGUGAUUAUAGCUCUGGAUGCUGAACACAAAGUUCCUGCUGAAAGUUUCAUCAAAACCUUCCCGUGAAACCUGUUUGUUUUGAAAUAUUGGCAUUUUGUGAUGAAUAACAAUGUCACUGGGAAAAGUCCUGUUGGAAUAUUUGCAGUGGAGUCCCCUGAGCCUGUGUAUUAAUCCAGUCUCCUACACUAGGAUUUGGAUGGAUGUCAUAGAAUCUACAGGAUGGGUGAGGUUGGAAAGGACCACUGGAGGUCAUCUAGCCCAGCCUCUCUGCAGGAUCCAUUCAGGAUUGUGUCUGACAACUUCUGAGUAGCUCCAGAGAAGGAGACUCCACAACCUCACUGGGGAGCCUGUUCCCAGAUGCCUCCCAUCCCUGUAGGACCUCCUUAGGAUGGUGACAACUCCCAGUGACAACCCUUUCUGCUGGGGGUGGUGACCUGUGCCUUUGCCUGUGGGACCCAGAAGGACACUGGCACGGUGAGCACCACACAUGCACCAAUGAAACACCACUGUUUUCCUUCGA